AUGCCGAAAGAAGACCAAGGGCAAGACGGGGCCCCAGCCCCUGCUAUCUUGAAGCAACAGGCCAAGAAAGUGGUGAAUCCCCUGUUGAGUAAAGGCCUAAGAAUUCUGGCACUGGACAGGACAUCCAGCCCAAAAGGGACCUCACCCACUUUGUGAAAUGGCCCCACUAUGUCAGGCUGCAGCAGCAAAGAGUUAUCCUCUACAAGAGCCUAAAAGUGCCUCCUGUGAUGAACCAGUUCACCCAGGCCCUGGGACCACCAAACAGCUACUCAACUACAUAAGCUGGCCCAUAAUACAGACCAGAGACAAAGCAAGAGAAGAGGCAGAGACUUGGCCCAGGCUGAGAAGAAAGCUGUUGGCAAAGGGGAUGUCCCCACUAAGAGACCACCUGUCCUUCAAGCUGGGGUUAACACCGUCACCACCUUGGUGGAGAAGAAGAAGGCUCAGCUGGCGGUGACUGCACAUGACGUGGAUCCCAUCAAGCUGGUUGUCUUCCUGCCUGCCCUGUCUCAUAAAAUGGGGGUCCCUGACUGCGCUGUCAAGGGAAAGGCAAGACUGGUUCACAGGAUGACCCACACCACCAUCACCUUCACACAGAUUAACUCGGAAGACAAAAGGGCUUUGGCUAAGAUGGUGGAAGCUAUCAGGACCAAUUACAAUGACAGACACGAUGAGAUCUGCUGUCACUGGGGGGGCAAUGUCCUUGGUCCCAAGUCUGUGGCUCACACUGCCAAGCUGGAAAAGGCAAAGGCUAAAGAACCUGCCACUAAACUGGAUUAA
rnacentral:lncRNA from 1 species